rnacentral:rRNA from 1 species
UCGAACGGGGAUUACACGGGGAUGCGAUUUCGGUCAAAUCAAGUGCAAUCUUACUGGCGGACGGGUGAGUAACGCGUGGGUAACCUGCCUUGCACUGGGGGAUAACACUUAGAAAUAGGUGCUAAUACCGCAUAAGCGCACGGUCCCGCAUGGGACAGUGUGAAAAACUCCGGUGGUGCAAGAUGGACCCGCGUCUGAUUAGCUGGUUGGCGGGGUAAAGGCCCACCAAGGCGACGAUCAGUAGCCGGCCUGAGAGGGUGGACGGCCACAUUGGGACUGAGACACGGCCCAAACUCCUACGGGAGGCAGCAGUGGGGGAUAUUGGACAAUGGGGGGAACCCUGAUCCAGCGACGCCGCGUGAGUGAAGAAGUAUUUCGGUAUGUAAAGCUCUGUCAGCAGGGAAGAAAGCAAUGACGGUACCUGACCAAGAAGCCCCGGCUAACUACGUGCCAGCAGCCGCGGUAAUACGUAGGGGGCAAGCGUUAUCCGGAAUUACUGGGUGUAAAGGGAGCGUAGACGGCUGUGCAAGUCUGGAGUGAAAGGCGGGGGCCCAACCCCCGGACUGCUCUGGAAACUGUAUGGCUGGAGUGCAGGAGAGGUAAGCGGAAUUCCUAGUGUAGCGGUGA